GGCGCUAUACUUUAAGAUAAAAGAAUUGAUUUGCACUCAAAAAAUAAAACAAUGGAUUUUAGGGCC
rnacentral:tRNA from 1 species